CUCAUUUGAUCCAUGUAAGAUCUUAUCACUGACGUGAGGAAGAAAUUUGUUCAUUUCUGUCUUCGAAUAAGUAAUUUUAUGUGGCUCAGCUCCUCCAAGUACUUGAAUGGAGUAGAUUAAGACUUGCAAUACAUUACUUGUCCUGAAGUAUCCUUACAUCUGCGGAAGUGUGGAUGAGUGAUGAUUUAAAUUGCUGAUAAACUGAGAAUGUUUACCAUACAGUGGAAUUUGGCAUUC
rnacentral:misc_RNA from 1 species